GUGCCGCUGCAGAAGCAUGUAUUCUAAAAUUGGAACAGUACAGAGAUUAUCAUGGCCCCUGUGCAACAAUGACAUGCAAAUUUGUGAAGCACUCCAUAUUUUU
ensembl:snRNA U6 U6 spliceosomal RNA